rnacentral:rRNA from 1 species
AGCCUUUAGCCAAACAAGUAUUAAAGGUAUCGCCUGCCCAGUGACAUUUUUUUAACGGCCGCGGUAUUCUAACCGUGCAAAGGUAGCGUAAUCACUUGUCUCCUAAAUAGAGACUAGUAUGAACGGCUAAAUGAGGACAAACCUGUCUCCUAUGACCAAUCAGUGAAACUGAUCUUCCAGUCCAAAAGCUGGAAUAAUAACAUAAGACGAGAAGACCCUGUGGAGCUUUAAACCAACUACUACUUAAAACACACUAGUACCAGGUUUUAAGUUGGGGCGACUUCGGAACAAAACAUAACUUCCGAGCACAGAGGCACCACCUCUUACUAAGGCCAACAAGCCAAAGCAUAAAACGACCCAGUCAAACUGAUCUACGAACCAAGUUACCCCAGGGAUAACAGCGCAAUCUUCUUCAAGAGUCCAUAUCGACAAGAAGGUUUACGACCUCGAUGUUGGAUCAGGACACCCAAAUGGUGUAGCCGCU